rfam:Gasterosteus aculeatus cont1.016721, whole genome shotgun sequence.
GCUUACGGCCAUACCUCUCUGGCUCCGCCUGAUCUCGUCUGAUCUCAGAAGCUAAGCAGAGUAGGGCCUGGUUAGUAGCAGAAGCUAAGCAGAGUAGGGCCUGGUUAGUACUUGGAUGGAAGACC